UUAUCUUUGUUGGGUCAUUGUUUGUUGUCACCCAGCGUUGUGGUGCGUUCGCUUGUUGUCAGCCUCACUUGUCGUGUCUCCUUGUUUCCCUGCUCGUUUUGGAUUUUGGUUUUCUGUUGGACAACCUUUGUUUUGGACUUAGUCUUUCAGCCACUCUGUCUGUUGUUUGUGAAUUUACUGACCUUACAAGUGGUGAUGUUGACUCCCUUGAUGAAGAGGCUCUUCUGGCUGAAACGCACACGCUGCCCCACCCAGACCUCACGUUUGGUAUUUAAGCCUUUCAGUGGAAGGAGUCUUGCAGUUAAACUGAGAGCACGAAGCAGCAUCUCCUCUAAACCAAGCCACCUCAUUAGGCAGUUCCUACAGAGCAACUCAAGCUUUAAUCAGCUGCUGACAUUUCUACAUUUUCUUUGGGAGUAAACUCCUGUCACUAAGAUGAACGUGGGCUUUGAGAUCGAAGGGCCCAAUGCCGGCACAAACGUCGAAGCCUCUUUAUCGUCUCCCAGUGUCACAGCCUUUGUGAAAGCACAAGUUGCCAGUACUUCCCUCACCAUUGGUCCUGUGAAAGCUAAAGUGGGCCUUGCAGCAGAUACUGGUGCCAAGAUCGGUUUGACAGGUGUAGAGGCAAAGGUGCUGGGAACAGGCAUCUCCUUUGGUCGUAAAAUGGGCAUUUCUCUGUUUGGCACUGGAAUUGAAUUUAAUUUGUGGUAAACUGUCGCUUUGUGGCAAACACUACUGUUGUGUCUUCUUUUCAAACAAAGAAACAAUGUAAUCAUGUAAAAUUUGCUGUAUGUAUAAAUGAAAAUUGUUCUUGUGAUGAUGUACAUCUUUACUGCAGAUAAAACAUUUUACCUUGAUAUAA